rnacentral:rRNA from 1 species
GACGGGGGACGCAAGCGUGAUCCGGAAUGAUUGGGCGUAAAGCGUUCGCAGGUGGCUGUCCAAGUCUGCUGUCAACGACCGGGGCGUAACCCUAGAAAGGCUGUGGAAACUGAACGGCUGGAGUGCAGUAGGGGUAGAGGGAAUUCCCAGCCUAGCGGUGAAAUGCGUAGAGAUUGGGAAGAACACCGGUGGCGAGAGCGCUCUGCUGGACUGCAACUGACACUGAAGGACGAAAGCUAGGGGAGCGAAAGGG